CCAAAUAUAAAAGAAGUUACAAAACACGUAAUAAUUAACAAUCAUGGUUAAAGAAGCUAGUAUACAAGGUAGCUACAAAACCCUAUUUCAAUAACACCAAAUUCAAGUUCCGACUAAGAUAAACAACCAUGGAAUGCAACAUUAAAUAACACUCCACUUGAAGAAGUGCUAAGCCUUGGCUUUUCCAGCUUGAAGAGAUUGAAUCCUCUACU
rnacentral:lncRNA from 1 species